UGGGUAGUCCGUACGAGCGCACCCUAUCCUUAGUUGCCAGCGAGUAUGUCGGGAACUCUAGGGAGACUGCCGGUGACAAACCGGAGGAAGGUGGGGACGACGUCAAGUCAUCAUGGCCCUUAUGGGCAGGGCUACAUACGUGCUACAAUGGCCGGCACAGAGGGCUGCGAAGUCGCAAGGCGGAGCGAAUCUCAGAAAACCGGUCGUAGUCCGGAUUGCAGUCUGCAACUCGACUGCAUGAAGUUGGAAUCGCUAGUAAUCGCGGAUCAGAAUGCCGCGGUGAAUACGUUCCCGGGCCUUGUACACACCGCCCGUCACACCAUGGGAGUGGGCUGUACCAGAAGUAGGUAGUCUAACCUUCGGGGGGACGCUUACCACGGUGUGGUUCAUGACUGGGGUGAAGUCGUAACAAGGUAGCCCUAGGGGAACCUGGGGCUGGAUCACCUCCUU
rnacentral:rRNA from 1 species